AGCAUUGGAGACAGGUGGUGCAUGGUUGUCGUCAGCUCGUGUCGUGAGAUGUUGGGUUAAGUCCCGCAACGAGCGCAACCCUUAUCCUCAGUAGCCAGCAGGUAAAGCUGGGCACUCUGUGGAAACUGCCAGGGAUAACCUGGAGGAAGGUGGGGAUGACGUCAAAUCAUCAUGCCCCUUAUGAUCUGGGCUACACACGUGCUACAAUGGCGUAAACAAAGGGAGGCAAAGCCGCGAGGUGAAGCAAAUCCCAAAAAUAACGUCUCAGUUCGGAUUGCAGUCUGCAACUCGACUGCACGAAGCUGGAAUCGCUAGUAAUCGCGAAUCAAAAUGCCGCGGUGAAUACGUUCCCGGGUCUG
rnacentral:rRNA from 1 species